UACGUAGGUGGCAAGCGUUGUCCGGAUUUACUGGGCGUAAAGAGUGUGUAGGCGGUGUUCCCAGUCUGUUGUGAAAUCUCCCGGCUUAACUGGGAGGGUGCAGCGGAAACUAGAAUGCUAGAGGGUGGGAGAGGUAAGCGGAAUUCCUGGUGUAGCGGUGAAAUGCGUAGAUAUCAGGAGGAACACCUGUGGUGUAGACAGCUUACUGGACCACUUCUGACGCUGAGACACGAAAGCGUGGGUAGCAAACAGG
rnacentral:rRNA from 1 species